rnacentral:lncRNA from 1 species
GCUAAAGCAGCGGGCCGGGCGGAAGGUCGGGGAGCCAGAGCCCAGGGAAGAGCAGAAGGCGCGGGGGGGCGGGGGGGGCACCCAGGAGGGAGGACGGGGCAGCGGUGAGGGUGUAGACGGGAGGGAAUCUGUCCGGUGCCGCAGUGAGUUGGGUGGCGGUGAUUUGUUCGCGGGCGCAGGCUGGGAGGCGGGGUUCCUGACUCACUGCGGCACUGGCAGGGCUGGUGACAGCACCACCCCCGCGCCGCCUGCAAUCUGCCACCGCUGCCACCGAGCCGAGGGGCGCCAGCAAGGCAUCCCCUGGGUCAAGGGGCCUCCCGUGGGCUUUCCAAACAGCCUGUGCUCAUUUCCGCGGGAGCCCUCGGGGCGCUGUGCUGUGGCUGCAUUGUCACUGUUUGUUUAUUUCUACAUCUGCUCUGUUAGAAGAUAGGCUCGCUUAGGACAGAGCCUUCUAAUCCACCCCCUGAUGAAUUCGGGCCCUCGCCUUUGGCACAAUGCCUGGCGUCAUCACAACGCGGGUGAUCAGUAAACGGCAGCGAAGGAAGCGGGGUCAGGACUGGAGAGGAGAGGGGGAGGAAGACAGACGACCGGAGAGGAACAAAAAUGGAAGAACAAGUAAGAAUGGACAGAGGAAUACCAUGUGCUGACUGACGAACGCCUGGGUUUCUGAACCAAUUGCCAUCAAGGGGAUUGGGAUUACCAUAAUUUUUGCUGAGACUAAGCCCCACCCCAGUAACCAAAGGCUUAUGGGUGGAAUGCAAGCUAUUGGAAGUAUUUGAAGAUGUGACCAAGGAAGCUAUGAGAAUUGGAAAUGAGGCAGUUGUUUAGAAACGGGCUGAUGUGCUUGUGGUAAGGUGGAAGGAGGAAGGCAGAUGAGGAAAGGAAUGUGCAACUGAAGCAAUUAGCUGUUACUAUGUAACGAACCAUCCCAAAACGUAGUGACAUAAAACAACAACCAUUUGUUAUUUCUCAUGCGCUUACAUUUCUACUAGGAAGUUCUGCAAAUCUGGAUUGGUCUUGGCUGAUCUUGGCAGGGCUUGUUCUGGCAUCCACUCUCAGCUGCUGAAUUAGCUCUCAGUUCCUGGUUCAGGGUGGCCUUGGCUUGGAUGACUUGGCUCUGCUCCAUGUAUCUUUCACAUCCUUCCAGCAGGCCAGCUCAAGCCUGUUCUCUAGAUUGUGGCAAGGAUCCAAGGGAAAGAGAGAAAGCCAAAAUGUUCAUGCCCUUUUUUGAGCCACUUUUUUCAAUGAGUUGGCUACUGUCUCCCUAGCUAAACACAUCUCAGCCAAGCCCAGAACCAGUAUGGAAGGUCACUAACCAAAGCUGUGGGUAAAUGGAGGCAUGGAAAUCUGUGACCUUUAAUGCAAUCAUCUACAAUAACAAGCCAAUGACCAUGAAGCUGGACAGAGAAAUAGAUUCCUGGGAGGAAGAAUAGCAAAAUGUCUGGAGUAAGAGGAAGUAGGGUAUUUCAGGGAACUCAGCAAACAGUGUGAUGACAAAAUGAAAGCACAGUCAUGCAAUCAGCACCUGGGUAAAUAUUUAGGUUGGAGUCUGUGUUGACCCAGUCUGCAGGUAACCCUCAGCCUGGCCCAGCAUUUCACUGCCCUCCUACUACUUACCCAGAAACAACUCUCCUGUAUUGAUUAAGCAGGAAAGAGGAAACUCUCCUGGAAGACACAAGGGCAGAUCCAAGCAGGAGCUAAGGUUUUCCAGAAUGUGGUCUUAGGUCUGUGAAUGGCUUUUGGACAGAGGCACAGCUGAACAUUCCCAUGGUUUCUGUGACUUUAGAAUCACUACCACCUCUUGACUAUGCACCUCUUGACUAAUUUCUAUUUCUCAAAUUAUAGAAUAAAAAAUGCUGAUUCUAAGGAUAAAAACACAACAAAUAAUCCAAAAGUAUAUAAGAUGAAAAAUAAUAGUGUGAGUUCUAUUCCAUUCUCCAGAGAGUAACAACUGCUCUCAAUUUGGGCACUUCCUUUCUGUCUUCUUCCUGCACAUGUACUUUUUGCAUAUGUCCUUUGCACGUUCUUAACCAUACUUGGGUAAUGAUGCCAACAUCACAAGCAUAACUUUCUGACAGCCCAGAAAGCCAACCUUGUCUUCUUCCUUGUUCAACCCUUGUGCCAUUUUGCCCUAACCAGAAAAAUACUCCACUUGGUAAUGAUUCUCUCUCUGUGUCUGUGAAAAAUAACAUUGGAAAGUCUAAUGUGGAAAUGUUGAACCAGGCUGGGCAUGAUGGUUCAUUCCUGUAAUCCCAGGACUUUGAAAGACCAAGGUGGAAGGAUGGCUUGAGCCCAGGAGUUCAAUACCAGCCUGGGUAACAUAGUAAGACUCCCAUCUCUACAAAAAAUUAAAAUUAACCAGGCAUGGUGGCAUAUGCCUGUAGUCCUAGCUACUCAGGAGGCUGAGGUGGGAGGAUGGCUUGAACCAGGAGGUCGAGGCAGCAAUGAGCCAUGAUUGUGCCACUGCAUUCCAGCCUGGGUGACAGAGUGACAGCCUGUCUCAAAAAAGAAAAGAAAAGAUACAAAAGAAAUAUUGAAUCAAAAAAUAUAGGUAAAAGUGAAACAAAAGGAAAUUUAAAAAUAAAUAUGUAUCAAUAGAUAAAAAAUGGUAAAAUGAACAAGAUGUGGAAAAUGUUGUAGUCUCUACAUCUGGCCUAAUAUUUAAUCUAAGAAUCUAAUGCAAAUUUCUUACAUCAUGAAUAAAUAUGGAUGAUGGGCCUACAGAUCAGAUACAUUUUAAUAAUGAGCAGACUAAGUGAGGCCUCAUACCUCUCAUCUCCAUGUGUAACCUAAUUAAUCGGGCCAUUUCAGUUGCAGAACACUCACUUCCAUAACUGUCUUCUACUUCAGAAGUGUGUGUUUCAGUUAGAAUUUGAUUUGGGUGCAGAUGCCUAUGAUAGACAAUGCAAACAGUGACUUAAAGAAAUAAAAGUUUAUAUUCCUCUCACAUAAAAAAAAUUUAAAUUUAAAUAGUGCAGGGCAGAUUUAGCACUCCACGGUGCCAAGAAUAUGAGCUUCUUUUAUUUUGUUGCUCUUGGCCUUCACUUUAUGGCUCAAAAUGGCUGCUGAAACUCCAGACAUCAAACCUGCAUUCCAGCCUGCACAGUAGAGGAAGGAAGUAAAGAAGGGUAAAGGCUCAUUUUCUAAGGAAAUUGCUCAUCAGCCUCACACAACACUUCCUCAUACACUGCAUUAGCCCAAUUUAGUCAUAUGACCACACCUAUCUGCAAGGAAAGCUGAGAAAUGUUGUUCUUGUUCUCAGGGGAGAUGUAUGUGCCCAGCUAAAAAUAAGGUGUUCUGCCACCAAAGAAGAAGAGAAAGGGGAUAUUGAAGUUCAAGUGGUAAUCUUAGACAUAUAAAGCCAUCAAAAUUAUUUCCCCCCCAAACCCUUUUGAGAAACUGAGUGCGUAAAGAUAGAUUAUGACUGGGCACGUCAAACUUGUUUUAAAUAUACAAUUGGCCAGGCACAGUGGCUCACACCUGUAAUCCCAGCACUUUGGGAGGCCAAGGCGGGUGGAUCACCUGAGGUCAGGAGUUUGAGACCAGUCCGGCCAACAUGGCGAAACCCUCUCUCUACUAAAAAUACAAAAAUUAGCCGGGCAUGGUGGCAUGCCUGUAAUUCCCAGCUACUCAGGUGGGAGGCUGAGGCAGGAGAAUCUUUUGAAACUGGGAGGCAAAGGUUACAGUGAGUUGAGAUCACACCACUGCACUCCAGCCUGGGUAACAGGGUGAGACUCUGUCUCAAAAAAAAUAAAAUUAAAAAAUGAAAUAAAAAUACAAAUAAAUAUACUAUUUUUUUCAAAGGAUAGAAGGAGCAUUGUCUACGUUAAAUAAUGCAGAAGAUUUUAACUGAUUGCAGCCCAAUUUGUUUCCAUAUCCCCAGAGGCCAUCCCAACCCAGAGGCUUUCCCAUAGAACCGUGGGGAAAGAUCUCAAUUGUCUACACUCUGGCUCUGAGAUAAGGCAGCGCUCUCUCAGCCCUUUAAAGGGGGAGAAGGAUGUUAGUUCUAUUCCUUAGGCAAGAGGGCCUCACCUGUGGCCAUUCAACCCCAGGUUCUGCAAGAGUGAGAAGCAGAAAGCCUACUUUGCGUUGCCUCUACCUGAGGAGAAGAAGCCAGGUGUGCUCUCAGAUGGUCGGGGUAGUGCUUGGGAAGAUGUCGGGAGGACCGCGUAGAAAGCUGAGAGUGAGCUUCCCUUUGCUCACUGGCUUCUCAGCCAAAAACCGCUGGAGUGGAAGAGGGACAUUAUGGGCCUGCAGCAAACUCUCUCUCAACCUUCAGUUUCCCAAUGUAUAAAAUGAGUAUGAUGAAACUUGCCUCAUAGAUUCAUUACAAGGGUUGUUUAAAAAACAUUUACCAAAGUGCCCGCUGUAUACCUCCAUUUAAUGCAUGCAAGUUCCUUUCUCUUCUUCCUUUUGGAAUAACAUAACCUGAUUGUAAGAACAUGUUUCCACAAGACAACAUGAUGAGAAAUGUUUGGCAAGAUCUAGAAUUGCAGUAUGGUAGCCACUGACCACAUGUGGCCAUUAAGCACUCCAAAUGUGUCUAUUGUAACUAGGAACUGAACUUUUAAUUUUAUUUCAUCUUAAUUCAUUUAAACUUAAAUUUAAAACCUGCUGCUUGAUUAGAGUAUUGAAAAAUAUUUAAACGUAUUUGGAACAAUUUGGGUAUGUGAAUUUCCUCUUUCAACUAUAAAUCUUACAAAAUCUAAACACAGAUCGAGUAUUCCGAAUUAAAAUUUAACAUUCAAA